UCCAAACGCUUGUCCACUUGCAUUGAAGAAGCAACCCCACUACUUGGAUUGAAUUCACUGAAUCCAACCCCUCUCUCUCUCUCUCUCUCUCUCUCUCUAACACCCCUCCAGUGACUCCAGUUCUCAUUCUUUUCCCAACCCAUAUCCACUUGCAUGGAAGCCAAUCCCUACUUUUUGAAUUCACUGAAUCCAUCCCAAACCCACGAAGCCCAUUUCUCUCUCCUUCAAAUAUUUAUUUUAAUAAAAGUAUUAUCCUCUCUUCCUAGUAUGUUUUGUCGGGUCUUUGAAACCUCAAAUCAAAUCAGCAUCCAUUUGAAAAUACAAAGAAGGAACCCAUAAUCACCAAACGCCUCCCCCUUCAUUACCCCCCAAAAAACGGAACGGCUGCCAGCAUCAUAAUCCCCGUCAACUUCACCAACCAAUUUUUAUUUCUCUCGUAACAAAGAAAAAAAAAAACAAGAGAGAAAACAAAUCCCCUCUUUACCUUCCUGUUACCUAUCUUAUCUCUCAUUUUUUCGAAAGGGAAACUUCCUCCUGUUCUUAGGAAAGAUCUCCAGAGGCAGUAGAGGCGGAAAGCACAAAUCUGCAGAGGAGUGAGUUAGCACCAGAAACGCAUCAAAAUUCAGCCGAUUUUGAGUUUCUACUAUCGUAUCGGGGCCAACAGUUGGGAAUUGUUACUGGGGGAUAUGUGUUAUUGCAGAUGGCAGAAAAUGUUAAUUAAGCGGUAUUAUUGUGAGCUCAUCUUGAGAUCUUCUUCACAUUGCUGGGAAUUGAAUUCUUCAAGUUCCUUUCAUUUAAGAUAAAUAGCACCAACUCAUUUUGGGAUCUGUCUGGUUCGCACAGAUUUAAAUACAUAUUUUGGCAAAUAUUUUGAACCUGAGUACUCACUCUCAAGAGAUCUCUAACCUUGAGGAUUUAUUCAGAUUCGCAUAGAGGAUAGAGAGGGAUUGUAUAUAUAUAUAUAUAUAUAUAUACACACACACACACACAAGACAUCAUCAAGAUUACAUUCUGCAGAUUUCUUGGGGGAUUUUUUAAGUUUGAAUUGUACUUAUUGUGAAGAGUGUAAAAUCUUCUUUGAGACUUGUGAUCUUGUUUGUUUGAAGAAGUA